GGCCUGCCUGCAGCUGGAGCUGACAGCUGUAGGCACAGCUCUGUCACCCACAACUCUGGACUGCUGGAAUGUCUUGGAUGGAAUAAACUGCAUUUUGGAUACAAUAAACUGCAUUUUGGAGAGCCACCUGGAGUCCCACAUCCCUCAUUUAAACUCUUAAAAUGAGCCUUGUUUCUCAUGAAGCCUUAUAUUUGGGAGGGAUUUAUCCUCCUGUAUCAGUUCUAAAGAGAUUCCUCUGUGAGGUCCCUUUGAAGGAUGUUUACAGACAACCCAAAUUGCUCACUGGGAAAAAAAAAAAAAAAAAGGCAGUUCAUUCUUGCCUGACAGCUGAUUAAAUCUUGAGUUGCCUUUUGCUUCUGCUAAUUUGUUCUGUUCGUGACUGGCAUGCCGAGCUCCCCCAGGUGUGCUGAAGGCCAGAUGGCACAACUCAGAGCCUGCACACAGCAUCCCACGGCUAGAAAGGAAUUUGGAAUGGCAGGGAUAUCCAGGAUUCAAAUACUUUGUUUGAUUUCCUUUUUUAUUUUCUUUUUUGGCAGCCUCUGUCCGCACAGUGUUGGAAGCGAACACAAACACUGCGAGCGUGACAGUCAGUGCAGAAGGUAUAGAGUCAUUCUCUUCCACUGUGUCCAACCAUCCACUGAGGACCUUCCCAACUUUCAGAACUGUGGAGCUGACAGACAGCAGUGACACUGCUGGGCCUGAUGGAAAAGAAGUCAUGGCCAUGCUGAGGAUGAGAGCUGGAGAUGAGAAAACCAACGUGAGGAAAUCUGCCCUGCAGGU